rnacentral:rRNA from 1 species
GACGAACGCUGGCGGCGUGCUUAACACAUGCAAGUCGAACGGAUUUUCCCUGCAUUUGUGUUGUUCUCGCGUGGCAAACUGGUUGGUAACCCGUUAAUUACCUGCCCUUUACUUUGGGCUUCCUUCAGGAAACUGGGGCUAAUACCGGUUCUGAUCUCCUGCUGUUUGGUUUGCGUUGUAAAGUUUCGGCGGUUGGGGAUGGACGCGCGGCUUAUCAGCUUGUUGGUGGGGUAGUGGCUUACCAAGGCUUUGCCGGGUAGCCGGCCUGGGAGGGAGACCGGCCACAGAGGGACUGAGAUACGGCCCAGAGGCAUACGGGAGGCAGCAGUGGGGAAUAGUGCAAAAUGGGCGGAAGCAUGAUGCAGCAACGCCGCGUGGGGGAUGACGGUCGUCGGGGUGUAAACCGCUUUCGCCUGUGACGAAGAGUGAGUGACGGUAAUGGGUAAAGAAGCACCGGCUAACUACGUG